rnacentral:rRNA from 1 species
GCACAAGCGGUGGAGCAUGUGGUUUAAUUCGAAGCAACGCGAAGAACCUUACCAAGUCUUGACAUACUGUGAAGACACAAGAGAUUGUGUUGUUCUGACCUUUGGUUAGACACGGAUACAGGUGGUGCAUGGUUGUCGUCAGCUCGUGUCGUGAGAUGUUGGGUUAAGUCCCGCAACGAGCGCAACCCUUAUAUCUAGUUGCCAGCAGUAAGAUGGGGACUCUAGAUAGACUGCCAGUGAUAAACUGGAGGAAGGUGGGGAUGACGUCAAAUCAUCAUGCCCCUUAUGACUUGGGCUACACACGUGCUACAAUGGAUAGGAACAAAGAGAAGCGAGCUCGCGAGAGUAAGCAAACCUCACAAAACUAUUCUCAGUCGGAUUGUAGUCUGCAACUCGACUACAUGAAGCUGGAAUCGCUAGUAAUCGCGAAUCAGAAUGUCGCGGUGAAUACGUUCCCGGGC